AUACUUACCUGGACGGGGUCAAUGGGUGGUCAAUGUGGCCUAUGGCCUAGAUCAGUGGCUUCCAUUGCACUUAGGAGGGGUGCUGGUCUAAGGUCUCCCCAAGUUGGGAGAGCCUACGUCGUAAUUUGUGAUAGAGGGGGCUUGCGUUCGCGCAGCCCCUG